AGUAAUAUGACUGAUUUAAGUGAUAAAUUGUAAAUUUAUUUAAAGAUUAAUAAUAUUAAUCUUAUUACUA
rnacentral:tRNA from 1 species